GGGUGGGGAUUGGGUGCAUUACUUGUGUCCUGUGUGAAGUAUUGCACUUGUCCCGGCCUGU
rnacentral:pre_miRNA from 1 species